CCUACGGGAGGCAGCAGUAGGGAAUCUUCCACAAUGGACGAAAGCCUGAUGGAGCAACGCCGCGUGGGUGAAGAAGGUCUUCGGAUCGUAAAACCCUGUUGUUAGAGAAGAAAGUGCGUGAGAGUGACUGUUCACGUUUCGACGGUAUCUAACCAGACAGCCACGGCUAACUACGUGCCAGCAGCCGCGGUAAUACGUAGGUGGCAAGCGUUAUCCGGAUUUAUUGGGCGUAAAGGGAACGCAGGCGGUCUUGUAAGUCUGAUGUGAAAGCCGUCGGCUUAACCGGAGUAGUGCAUUGGAAACUGGGAGACUGGAGUGCAGAAGAGGAGAGUGGAACUCCAUGUGUAGCGGUGAAAUGCGUAGAUAUAUGGAAGAACACCAGUGGCGAAAGCGGCUCUCUGGGCUGUAACUGACGCUGAGGUUCGAAAGCGUGGGUAGCAAACAGGAUUAGAUACCCCAGUAGUC
rnacentral:rRNA from 1 species